AAAUUGAAGAGUUUGAUCAUGGCUCAGAUUGAACGCUGGCGGCAGGCCUAACACAUGCAAGUCGAACGGUAACAGGAAGCAGCUUGCUGCUUUGCUGACAAGUGGCGGACGGGUGAGUAAUGUCUGGGAAACUGCCUGAUGGAGGGGGAUAACUACUGGAAACGGUAGCUAAUACCGCAUAACGUCGCAAGACCAAAGAGGGGGACCUUCGGGCCUCUUGCCAUUGGAUGUGCCCAGAUGGGAUUAGCUAGUAGGUGGGGUAACAGCUCACC
rnacentral:rRNA from 1 species